AGAGAAGGAAAGAGAGGCAAGAGGUCUGUGUCAAUAGCUGUAAGGAAGGGCCAAAACUCACCAUUAAAUACUCCAUCUAUGACACAGUACAACAGAGUGGAGGAAGAAGAGAGAGGUGCAUUUAUAUAAAUGGAGAGGGAGAGUCACGAGGAUUCCCCUACCUAAAACAUGCACAGCUCGUGCUUUCCUUUGUCAAUCUUUAGGUGAGAAAUUAAGCUUCUGCUUCUUUCCCUUUAAAUUAGACCUCUUAGCUUUCCAAAUUUCCCCAAAAAGGCCAAACCUCACUCCCCCCAUAUGGUUCUUCCUUCAAUUUGUCUUAUAUGUUGGUUUGAGAGGUUGAAGCUGCCAGCAUGAUCUGGUAAUGAACGUGUUACUCUCAUUUAUAUAUAUAUUAACAUCAAUCUUAUAGCAGUAUUUGUAGGUAGAAGAAAUUUAAUGUUGUCAAAGAUAUAUACUGAAUCGUGGUAGCUAUGUUUGUAUUACUAGUUUAGGAUGCAUGUUUUUGAUCUUAUGAUGAUCAAUUGCUUGUGAGUUUUUAGGCAAUGAAAACAGAAUAUACUGGUGAUUUUUCCCAGUAAAAUUGUCGAGAAAAGGGAAUUGCACUAAUAGGGAAGACGCAUAGGUAAACUUGUACCUAAAUGGUAUAUGUAUUUUCCAGGCAAAAAGGUAGAAACCUAAUUAGAAACUAGCUUGAACUCAGAGCUAUAAAAGUAUAUGGUUCCAUCAGGUCAUCUUGCAGCUUCAAUCACUCACUCACAAACAGCAGAAGAGAUUCUGAAACAUGCUUUUCUGGGGUCUAAUUGGCUCUCACAGAGUCACAAUUGCUUUAUACCAGGAGACAAAAGGUGGUACAAAUUUGGUUUCAUCCUUAAUUGCACACGGUUAGGGGUCCAGCUUGGUGUUGGUGACCCACAAUUCUGAACAGACAUUGACAAAACUACACAGGAUGUUACAUUCAUCUGUUGGAUAAUUAGCAUUCUGUGGUUUCCCAGAUUAUAAAUUGCAGUGAGUUUCCUCACAUAGUAUUAAGGUGGCAGUUGGGGCAUUUUUAUAGACUACCUAUGCUUCAUAAGCACUUAGCUGAUUCAAUCUCUUUAUCAGACAUUCAAGCAUAACAUCAGAAGUUUCUGUGAGAUUGCUGUUUUUCCCUUUUAUUCAUCAAUAUUCUGUAUCUCAAGAGUUUCCAAAAAGAUUCAAUCGAAACAAGGCUCAUUGGCAUGAUAUUGCAUAGCUCAUUAAUUGCCAUGCACACAUCUGGUAGUCUUACGGGGACAAAAACUUAGAUUUAUUGCUUCAAAUAACAGGAAUUUUCGGUAAAAAUUAAAUUUGUAACCUUACAAAAUAAAAUGGAGAAAUGAUUUUUUUAUAUCCAACUCUACAUAUCUAAUUCCAGGCCAAGAUACGGAUAAGUUGUAUCAUGAAUAUUGCACCAACAUAAAAGAGCGCUUGAAUUUUAUUAGUUGGUGUUAAUUAAAGAAUAUAAGGGAUAGGAAUAUAGGCCUCGUGAUAGGGCAUAUCUUAAUUAUGUAAAAU